AAGUCGUAACAAGGUUUCCGUAGGUGAACCUGCGGAAGGAUCAUUAACACGUAUCCAACGUUAAACAACCCUGUGAACCUUGAACGUGCUCUCGCACACGCUCUAGCAGCAAUCCCUGGUAAAUCAUUGUUGACCAGCUAUUGAGUCAGGGACCUCUGCUUUAAAACGAUGCGAUACGAGCGCCAGAGUAAGUGCGGCCUGGCAUCCUAGCAAUCUGUCAGUGGUUGCGCAAGGAUGGCGCAGUAAACGAUCGCUGUAGGCCCACACGGCCGGCGACCGGGCCUCUGUGCUUCGGCACCUAACGACCCCAUGUUUCGUACCCGGUGCGCUGUAACAACCGCACCACAAACUCGAACAACUGUUAACAAUGGAUAUCUUGGUUCUC
rnacentral:misc_RNA from 1 species